UACGGAGGGGGCUAGCGUUGUUCGGAAUUACUGGGCGUAAAGCGCACGUAGGCGGCUUUGCAAGUUAGAGGUGAAAGCCCGGGGCUCAACUCCGGAAUUGCCUUUAAGACUGCAUCGCUUGAAUCCGGGAGAGGUGAGUGGAAUUCCGAGUGUAGAGGUGAAAUUCGUAGAUAUUCGGAAGAACACCAGUGGCGAAGGCGGCUCACUGGACCGGUAUUGACGCUGAGGUGCGAAAGCGUGGGGAGCAAACAGGG
rnacentral:rRNA from 1 species